rnacentral:rRNA from 1 species
UUCGCCCUUAGAGUUUGAUCCUGGCUCAGGACGAACGCUGGCGGCGUGCUUAACACAUGCAAGUCGAACGGAGCGCCUAUGAAGGAGAUUUCGGUCAACGGAAUAGGUUGCUUAGUGGCGGACGGGUGAGUAACGCGUGAGGAACCUGCCUUUCAGAGGGGGACAACAGUUGGAAACGACUGCUAAUACCGCAUAACACAUAGGUACCGCAUGGCAUUUAUGUCAAAGAUUUAUCGCUGAAAGAUGGCCUCGCGUCCUAUUAGCUAGUUGGUAGGGUAACGGCCUACCAAGGCGACGAUGGGUAGCCGACCUGAGAGGGUGAUCGGCCACAUUGGAACUGAGAAACGGUCCAAACUCCUACGGGAGGCAGCAGUGGGGAAUAUUGGGCAAUGGAGGAAACUCUGACCCAGCAACGCCGCGUGAAGGAUGAAGGUUUUCGGAUUGUAAACUUCUGUCGCGAGGGACGAAGAAUGACGGUACCUCGUAAGAAAGCCCCGGCAAACUACGUGCCAGCAGCCGCGGUAAUACGAAGGGGGCGAGCGUUGUCCGGAAUGACUGGGCGUAAAGGGAGUGUAGGCGGCUCUUUAAGUUAUAUGUGAAAUCCCGCGGCUUAACCGUGGAAGUGCAUAUAAAACCUGGGGAGCUGGAGUGCAGGAGAGGUGAGUGGAAUUCCUAGUGUAACGGUGGAAUGGGUAGAUAUAGGGAAGAACACCCGGUGGGGAAGGCGGCUCACUGGGACUGUAACUGACGCUGAGGCUCGAAAGCGUGGGGAGCAAACAGGGAUUAGAUACCCUGGUAGUCCACGCCCUAAACGAUGGAUACUAGACGAAGGGAGUAUUUCACUCUCUGUGUCGAAGCCAACGCGAUAAGUAUCCCGCCUGGGGAGUACGGCCGCAAGGUUGAAACUCAAAGAAAUUGACGGGGACCCGCACAAGCAGCGGAGCAUGUGGAUUAAUUCGACGCAACGCGAAGAACCUUACCAAGACUUGACAUCGUGCGCAUAGUAUGGAAACAUAUGAAACCCUUCGGGGCGCAUAGACAGGUGGUGCAUGGUUGUCGUCAGCUCGUGUCGUGAGAUGUUCGGUUAAGUCCGGCAACGAGCGCAACCCUUAUGUACAGUUGCCAAUAUUAAGUUAGGAACUCUGUACAGACUGCCGUGGAUGACACGGAGGAAGGUGGGGAUGACGUCAAAUCAUCAUGCCCCUUACGUCUUGGGCUUCACACGUGCUACAAUGGGUGCUACAAAGAGCAGCGAACUCGUAAGGGUAAGCGAAUCUCAAAAAGGCAUUCUCAGUUCGGAUUGUGGGCUGAAACCCGCCCACAUGAAGUCGGAGUUGCUAGUAAUCCCGAAUCAGAAUGUCGGGGUGAAUGCGAUCCCGGGUCUUGCACACACCGCCCGUCA